rnacentral:lncRNA from 1 species
ACGUAACUGAGAAUUAGAUGCUUUGCAGUUAAUAAAAGAGGCAUGAUUGUCUCCACUGUCUAUGGAGAAAUAACACCAUGCAUUUUCUGUCAGUUUGACAUUUCUGGAGUGUCAGAUCCCCAGGGUCUAUAUCCAGAUAUUGACUGAGAGUAGGGAACAAAUUAAUGGCACUGGCUUUAAUUCAGUCCUCAAUACAGAGGCGUGUAACAUUUCUUGCUCAACUCUGCCUUGUCCGUAAGAACAUUUUCAUGUCUCUGGUGACCUAUGGCUGGAGAAAGUGAUGUGGUAAUUCUCCUGCCUAGUACAAAUUGAGGUGCAAUUGAGACUGAUGAGGGAUGAGAGUGCAAAUGAUACUUGUUGUAUCUCCAAAUGCUUUGAAAUACAGAUAAGGACGAAUCUAGCCCAGGACUUCCACAGUUUGAUCUAUCCUGAGGGACUGCUGCCCAGCCUUGGAAUAGGCCUCUCCAAUCUAAAAGUUAUCACCGUUGCACCACUCACACAGACAGACCACAGCUCUCUCCAGGGAACCAUACGAGCUUCCCAAGAAUCAAAGGAAACCCAAUGAUUGUCAUAGUCUAAGAGACACACCAAUCCCAGGGAAGUGCUCAAAUAUUCUCAGCCAGAAUGCACAGUGGAGAGAGAGACAUGGGAACAAGUAAGUUUCUUUUCUCAUGAGUGAGUGGUGUGACUUAAAAAAGCAUAGUCCCUUUGCUUGUAGCAUUGAGUAGAUUUUUAGACAAGGGUAUAUUUCUAGUCUUAUUUCUGUGGUUGACUUUUGCGUGUGGCACAUGAAGGGACAAGAUGGGGGACAGCACUACUCUGUGGACACCUUUUCUCAUGUGUGACAGAAGAAUUACUACCUGCAUGUACUAGAUGUACUUCAUAACUCUAUCUUUUCUUCUACAUGGUCUUUCAGGAGGAAAGAUUCUCUUUGCAGUGUUCAUGUUAUGACUACUAAGAAAAUAUCUGCAGUAUCAAAUGUGAUUCAUCUGAGGCAUGCUAACAUCACCACCUGCUACUUGUAACUCUGUUGGUGCCAAUCAUAGGCUGCAACGAGCUUCCAGGUGUGAAAGAAGUGGUGACAACUGAGAACUGGUAGGUGCUGAUAGUGUGUGUAAGCCCAUAUGCGACAAGCAGGAAUCGGUGUGAAUUUUGCUUUCAAAGCUGUAACACAUAUUUUGCAGAAGCUGCAUUUGCAGCCCUAGACAGGAAUUUGAGGUUGUUUUGCAGCAGCCACAGAACAACCUUGUGCUAUUGUGCUACAUAGGAUGCACAUCGCUUUCAGCUUUUGCAAGCCAGUUUACCACAGAGACUUCCUUGUGGGCUUACCCCUGCCGUGCUGAUGCUAUUGUACACAGACAGCGAGGCUGCUCAGAGUAUGCAGCUGGUGGGGGGCUUUCUGUCUGCUUGUACAGCAGGCAGCCUUUCCUGGCCUUCAUCUAUACCAUUUUAGGAGUUGGGCCCCAAGUUGUAAAGUCUGAAUCUGGAUCCAAACACAAUUUUUGUCAGCAUUCACAGGAGAUCUCAUCCUUGGUUUGGGUUUGCUCCAUCCAGAUCAAAGCCCA